rnacentral:rRNA from 1 species
AACGUAGGUACCGAGCGUUAUCCGGAUUUACUGGGCGUAAAGCGCGUUCAGGCGGUUUGGCAAGUCGGGCAUGAAAUCUCUCGGCUCAACCGGGAGAGGUUGUCCGAUACUUCCAGACUUGAGGGCAGUAGAGGUGGGUGGAAUUCCGGGUGGAGUGGUGAAAUGCGUAGAGAUCCGGAGGAACACCAGAGGCGAAGGCGGCCCACUGGGCUGCACCUGACGCUGAACCGCGAAAGCCAGGGGAGCGAACGGG